rnacentral:lncRNA from 1 species
CAGAGUAGUUGUGGAUGGUGUUGGUAAAACGUCAAGGUCAUAGAAUUCACUUAGCUUGAAACAGAGCAGACCUUCUCAGUCUUAAUACUACUGAUCUAUAUCUUUGCAUCAAGUGGUUGUUUUAUGACAUUGGCUACCUCACUGCUUCUAGUCAGCUGGAACCUAGCAGCACUCCCUGGGAUAUGACACCUCAGUUUCUCUUUCCUCAUUUGAGGAGUCACUACAGCAUUCCAGUUCAUAAACCUCAUCUAGAGGUACAGUUGAGAAGACUUAACUCUACGGUCUACAGAGAAGCCAAAUAUAGUCUGUGCAACUAAAGGUGGUGGCUUUGAAUGCUAAGGUGAUCAGCCUUUGGGAUGUGACUCAGUUCCUUUGGAUUGGCGUUAAGUUACCACUGUUGCUAUUGAAUGUGGCCCAAGGAAUGCACAGGAUCCACAAUGAUGGAGAUGGACCACCUGGACCUCUGGAUGCUGGUGGUAAAUGUGAAUCACAGAGACCCAUGCAUGGAAAUGACUUCUCCAUGUCCUCCACCUCACAGGUGAGGAAUGGCACCACCACAAGGUGCUAGAAGUAAAGACAAACAAACAAAAAACAAAAGCAG